AGGAAUGGCCCUGUGGACCUCUGUGAUGGGACAUCUGGUGGAAUCUCACAGGCAGUUCUGUGGCAAAGAUGGAUGAAAGCUAAGGACUCAUGAGGAAGCUGGAUAACUGAACAAAGCCAUGUAAGCAGGCUUUUUGGUAUGCAUGUGGUCCCAUUACAAGGAAUACCCAAUAAAUAGCAAAUGCACACUGCCAUUCACAAGCAAUUGCAGAGAAUGGGUGGGGGAUGUGAAACUAAAGAGCUUUGUAGCUGCCUGAGGAGGUGGGUUCUCUAUAUCCGUGGGAGCUAGUGAUCCCCCACAGGUCUUAGCUGGUGCCAUGAUUGUGAUCUUAGGCCAGAUUUGAUGUCCCCCACAUGGCCGAGUCCGCCAUGGAUGCAACAGGGCAGCUUUAUUUGCUGUUGCAGGUACAAGAAUGGGAAGCCAGAAAAUGGGAUGGUGGAGUUUGAAUCAGGUGGACAGUUCUAAAAGUACAAAUGAUUUCGUAUAAAGGUACCACAUGUGGGUCCCUUUAACUGAAGGCAUGGCAAGCUCCACACAAGGUCCUUCAUUUCUGAAUUUCAAGGGCUCCUCUGACAAGUGGACAGUGCAGUGGGUGCACCUUUUCCAGAGGUGACUGGAUGGAUGCUUGAACAGAAGAUUUGCCAAAUAGACAUUGUGCUGUCAAGAAUUUUACCAUUAAAAGUGCAUUA
rnacentral:lncRNA from 1 species